rnacentral:rRNA from 1 species
CACGUAGGGUGCGAGCGUUGUCCGGAAUUAUUGGGCGUAAAGAGCUCGUAGGCGGUGUGUCGCGUCGGCCGUGAAAACCUGCAGCUUAACUGUGGGCGUGCGGUCGAUACGGGCAUCACUGGAGUUCGGCAGGGGAGACUGGAAUUCCUGGUGUAGCGGUGAAAUGCGCAGAUAUCAGGAGGAACACCAGUGGCGAAGGCGGCUCACUGGACCGGUUCUGACGCUGAGGCGCGAAAGCGUGGGGAGCAAACGGG